CAGGUAAUUGUCCAUAUCAGAUG
rnacentral:miRNA from 12 species